GCUUGAGGGGCCUCUGAUCAGCCACGUCAAUUAAUGAGGCUUGAUCAGACGCCUCUCCUUUUUUUUUUUUAUAAUUUCCAUUUUAUUUCUUUUAUUUCAUUUAACUUCAAAAAAUCAUAACUCUUUCAUUUUUAAUCCAAAAAAUAUGGGACCAAUUGCAUUAUUUAUCUUUUUAAUUUUAGUUUUUAAAAAUGAUUUUUAAUAUUUUUUAUUUCAUCAUUUGAUAUUUUUUGUGAAUUUUCUCUUUUCU
rnacentral:lncRNA from 1 species